GGGGGGGGGGGGGGGGGCGGGGGGCGUGCGGGGGGGGGGGGACCGGCGUUAUGUGCUUGCACGUUUUGGACGUCGAGCGGCGCACGGGUGAGUAUCGCGUAUCCACCCUGCCCUUUACUUUGGGAUCCCCCGUUGCAAGACGGCCUAAUCCCCGAUGUAAUUCCUUGAUGGCCUCCGAUCUGCAUCAAAGCUUCCUCGGACAGGGAUGGGGAUUCGUCUGAUUCGGUUGUUGGGGAGGUACAGGCUCACACAGGCGCCGAUCAGUAGGGGUUCUGAGAGUAAGGUCCCCCACAUUGGAACUGAGACACGGUCCAAACUCCUACGGGAGGAAGCAGUGAGGAAUAGUGGGCAAUGGGCGCAAGCCUGAACCAGCCAAGUAGCGUGCAGGAAGACGGCCCUAUGGGUUGUAAACUGCUUUUAUACGAGAAUAAUUUGAUGCACGUGUGCGUUAUUGCAUGUAUCGUAUGAAUAAGGACCGGCUAAUUCCGUG
rnacentral:rRNA from 1 species